AUGGCACACGAGCUUGUCACACAGGAGGACCUCGCUUCUUUUGCUUCCAUUCCCUGUGUGGGAAAAGGAACACGAAGGGGUAGCAGGGUGGCCGGCCUCGCAUUGUGCUGGAUGUUACUGACUAUCUGGAGAGCCUUAAAGGAGCAGAAUAAAGUUGGAGCCCAGAAACCAUAAAAAUAAAUCAUCCCAAGACUUAGGUAGAAAAAAAAUAAUUCACAUCCAUUGCUAGGGCUGAAUCAACGGUUCCUUUCCCUCAAAAAGCAAUUUGGGUAUGACGGUGCACCUAUAGUCCCAGCUACUCACUCAGAAGCCUGAGCCCAUGAAUAAGAGUCAGUCUAAGGUGAAACUAAACUUCAUCUGAUACCAAAAGCAACUGAAUAUCAGAUGUCCGCCUCUGAUCAGAAACUCCUGGUUUAUACCACGGGACACCAUUGCUUUAAUUAAGCUGAGGGACAACACUGAAGAUUGAAGGAGGCUGAGAGACUGGCUCUGCUGGCUUUUUCCCUGCAGCACCCUCGGCUCCUCUGACUGUCCUUUCCACCAUGCCGUUGAGCCCUUGUGUGCGUGCAGUAGAUGGAGUUACCCUGAAGUCACCUUGAGCUUGUGUAUAACUCAAGUAGCACAUCUGUGACCAGCUCCUCUUGUAAACUGGGCAGGCCAGGUUGAAGCUAGGGAUUUCCUCCCUGUACCUUCCCCUCCCUUUGUUUCUUUUAAUCUCUUUGUAGUCGUCUCACUUUGUAACUCUGGCUGGCCUGGAGCUCGCUUUGUAGCCCAGGCAGACCUUGAACUCACUGAGAUCACCUGACUACUCAGAGUACUAGGAUUAAAGGUGUAAGCCACCACACCUGCUUUUACUCUCUUAGCUAGGGAAGUGUUCCUGCUCUGCUUAGAAAGAUGAGGGAAGGAUGCCUUCAGCAGCCUUCAGACCCACCCGAAGACUUGCUGCUUAGAAGUCUGCCCCUGCGCACUGGGAAGGAAUAAACAUGUUCCACUUCCUAGUAACUUCCACCUGGUGGACUGUAACUACUUUUCCUUUUCUGUCCCUGGAGGACCUCUGGGAACGUGUCUCCCUUAGUAGCUCUUUCUCUAGCUGUCUGGGUGGUUUACACGCCUCUGGUACUGUGUGCAAUAUCUUUGACUGAUGCUUGUAUCUAACAUUGAAAAAUAAGUGCAGACUGCAAAUUUCCUACUGUUCUUGUCCAGCAAGCCAGCCCCCAGGCAGGGACUAGGUCUGGCUGGCCUUACCCUCCGCUCAGAAGGCUCCACUGCUGUGGCCAGCUGUGGCCCUCUCAUUCCCUGCUUACCCAUCUACCCACCUAUCUCCUUUAAGAUUGUCUAGCAUUUCAGCUGCAGUCCAAAAGUAAGUAGACAAUGCCUAAUACCAAGUAGACAGUUGGUAUACCGGCCCUGUUAGCAGUGUUGGAGUCAGACUCCAGUGGAACAAAGGGGUUUCUCAACGUCUUCUGCUUUCAGAAGCAGGGAAUUUAUAUUCCCUUUAAGGCCUUGAAUGGAUUGUUUUUCCUCAUAAGAUAGUCACUGAUAAGCUAAUUUUUAAAAAGAAAUGCCAUUAAGUAUGUUACAUUGUGGUUUAAAAUUACUAACAAGUUCUGGGAAAGAAAAAUACUUGAUUUUGAAACUUAAAUGUUUUUUAAAAAUUAGAUUUGAAUGGGCACAAAAUAUGAAUAUUUUGUUUCUUUAUGGAAGACCUGUGGAAAGGGUUUGAAGAUUUGCAAUGGGAGAAGUAUUUUGCAGAGCUAUCAAUGUCUAAAUAAUUUUUAAAAAAAAAAUAAUAAUAAAGGUAUUUAAGC
rnacentral:lncRNA from 1 species